rnacentral:rRNA from 1 species
AGAGGGUGCGAACGUUGUUCGGGAAUUACUGGGGCAUAAAGCGCACGUAGGCGGUUCUGUAAGUGUGAAGUGAAAGCCCACGGGCUCAACCGUGGAAUUGCUUUGCAUACUGCAGGACUAGAGGACGGUAGGGGAGAGCGGAACUCCUGGUGGAGCGGUGAAAUGCGUAGAUAUCAGGAGGAACACCGGUGGCGAAGGCGGCUCUCUGGUCCGUUUCUGACGCUGAGGUGCGAAAGCCAGGGGAGCGAACGGGAUUAGAUACCCCGGUAGUCCUGGCCGUAAACGAUGGGCACUAACUAAAGGGCUUAUCCUGUGAGCUCUCUGGUGAAGCAAAUGUGCUAAGUGCCCCGCCUGGGGAGUAUGGUCGCAAGGCUA